GACGAACGCUGGCGGCGCGCUUAACACAUGCAAGUCGAGCGAUGAAACUUUAACAGAACCCUUCGGGGCGAAGAUAAAGUGGAUUAGCGGCGGACGGGUGAGUAACACGUGAGUAACCUGCCUUAGACAUUGGGAUAGUCCCGGGAAACCGGGAUUAAUACCAAAUAAAAUCAUAAUGACACAUGUCAUAACGAUCAAAACUCCGGUGGUCUAAGAUGGACUCGCGUCCCAUUAGCUAGUUGGUAGAGUAAAAGCCUACCAAGGCGACGAUGGGUAGCCGGCCUGAGAGGGUGAACGGCCACAUUGGAACUGAGAAACGGCCCAAACUCCUACGGGAGGCAGCAGUGGGGAAUAUUGCACAAUGGAGGGAACUCUGAUGCAGCGACGCCGCGUGAACGAAGAAGGCUUUCGAGUCGUAAAGUUCUUUUAUAUGGGAAGAUAAUGACGGUACCAUAAGAAAAAGCCCCGGCUAACUACGUG
rnacentral:rRNA from 1 species